GACGAACGCUGGCGGCGUGCUUAACACAUGCAAGUCGAACGGUAAGGCCCUUCGGGGUACACGAGUGGCGAACGGGUGAGUAACACGUGGGUGAUCUGCCCUGCACUUCGGGAUAAGCCUGGGAAACUGGGUCUAAUACCGGAUAGGACCACUGCCUGCAUGGGUGGUGGUGGAAAGCUUUUGCGGUGUGGGAUGGGCCCGCGGCCUAUCAGCUUGUUGGUGGGGUGAUGGCCUACCAAGGCGACGACGGGUAGCCGGCCUGAGAGGGUGACCGGCCACAUUGGGACUGGGAUACGGCCCAGACUCCUACGGGAGGCAGCAGUGGGGAAUAUUGCACAAUGGGCGCAAGCCUGAUGCAGCGACGCCGCGUGAGGGAUGACGGCCUUCGGGUUGUAAACCUCUUUCAGCACCGACGAAGCGCAAGUGACGGUAGGUGCAGAAGAAGGACCGGCCAACUACGUGCCAGCCGCCGCCGUAACAC
rnacentral:rRNA from 1 species